UCUUCAGCAGGGACCUCUGGUGCGGCCGAAGUGAGGAGGACGGGCUGGGCCACAUCGUUUGUCUGCUCGUGCUGGUGGUGAGUGAUAACGAUGGGCUGGACCGUACUGUAGGUGUGGUCGUGUAGGUGGUGGGUGAUGUUUCGGUCUGCAGGUGGAGGGGCUGUGUUCCAGUGGAGUGCGUUCCAGGGGAAGAUUGAAGGUCCCAGCUCUUUUUUCCCAUCAGGGAAAUGACAGGAGCAUACCCGGGAGUCAUCAUGUGGCUCCCGAUCUGCUCGUCUGUAAUGAGAGUAGGGCCAGCGUGGGGUAUUUGAGGGGGAGGCCGUGACCAGGACGAAUACAAUGCCAAAGCACAGACUGCACAACGCCCAAGUUGAACCCAUGGGCGGCUGAUGACCUCCACCAUUGGUGCAGGGAGCUAUGCUGACUGGACAGUGGAAUGCACUAUGAUGAACCAGGGCCCAGCAGAGCUGCACCAGGGGCUUCGGAGUUGAGUGGGGAUCAGAUCCAGGACAUGGCUGGCCUGUGGCUAUAUGACUGUUAUUUUUUCAUAUUGUUUUUUUUACAGUCAUGGCUGUAUGUCUUUGUUUUUGUUUUUGGAGCAUGCUGCAGUGCUUUUAUUUUGCU